GACGAACGCUGGCGGCGUGCUUAACACAUGCAAGUCGAACGGUGAAGCGCCUUCCUUUUUGGUGGGUGUGGAUGAGUGGCGAACGGGUGAGUAACACGUGAGUAACCUGCCCCCUUCUUCUGGAUAACCGCAUGAAAGUGUGGCUAAUACGGGAUAUUCUGGGUCUGUCGCAUGAUGGGUCUGGGAAAGAUAUUGUUUCGGUGGGGGAUGGGCUCGCGGCCUAUCAGCUUGUUGGUGGGGUGAUGGCCUACCAAGGCGGUGACGGGUAGCCGGCCUGAGAGGGUGGACGGUCACACUGGGACUGAGACACGGCCCAGACUCCUACGGGAGGCAGCAGUGGGGAAUAUUGCACAAUGGGCGCAAGCCUGAUGCAGCGACGCCGCGUGAGGGAUGGAGGCCUUCGGGUUGUGAACCUCUUCCGCCAGUGAAGCAGGCCUGCCUCGUUUGUGGGUGGGUUGACGGUAGCUGGAGAAGAAGCGCCGGCUAACUACGUG
rnacentral:rRNA from 1 species